rnacentral:rRNA from 1 species
AGUGAACGCUGGCGGUAGGCCUAACACAUGCAAGUCGAACGGCAGCACAGUAAGAGCUUGCUCUUACGGGUGGCGAGUGGCGGACGGGUGAGGAAUACAUCGGAAUCUACUUUUUCGUGGGGGAUAACGUGGGGAAACUUACGCUAAUACCGCAUACGACCUACGUGUGAAAGCAGGGGAUCUUCGGACCUUGCGCGAUUGUAUGAGCCGAUGUCGGAUUAGCUAGUUGGCGGGGUAAAGGCCCACCAAGGCGACGAUCCGUAGCUGGUCUGAGAGGAUGAUCAGUCACACUGGAACUGAGACACGGUCCAGACUCCUACGGGAGGCAGCAGUGGGGAAUAUUGGACAAUGGGCGCAAGCCUGAUCCAGCCAUGCCGCGUGGGUGAAGAAGGCCUUCGGGUUGUAAAGCCCUUUUGUUGGGGAAGAAAAGCAGCAGGUUAAUACCCCGCUGUUCUGACGUUACCCAAAGAAUAAGCACCGGCUAACUUCGUG